ACCCGCUGAACUUAAGCAUAUCAAUAAGCGGAGGAAAAGAAACCAACAGGGAUUGCCCUAGUAACGGCGAGUGAAGCGGCAACAGCUCAAAUUUGAAAUCUGGCUUCUGUGGGAGUUGUAAUGUGUAGAGGAAGCUUCUGGUGGCGUAGCGUCCGAGUCCCCUGGAGCGGGGCCCCAUAGAGGGAGAGAGCCCCGUAUGGGCGCAUGCCUAGCCUGUGUGAAGCUCCUUCGACGAGUCGAGUAGUUUGGGAAUGCCGCUCAAAAUGGGAGGUAUAUUCCUUCUAACGCUAUAUAUUGCCCAGAGACCGAUAGCGCACAAGUAGAGUGAUCGAAAGAUGAAAAGCACUUUGAAAAGAGGGUUAAACAGCACGUGAAAUUGUUGAAAGGGAAGCGCUUGUGACCAGACUUGCGCCAGGCUGAUCAUCCGGUGUUCUCACCGGUGCACUCUGCCUGGCACAGGCCAGCAUCAGUUUUGGCGGGGGGAUAAAGGGCUGCGGGAACGUAGCUCCCCCGGGAGUGUUAUAGCCCGCGUCGCAAUCCCCUCGCCGGGACUGAGGUCCGCGCAUCUGCAAGGAUGCUGGCGUAAUGGUCAU
rnacentral:rRNA from 1 species